ACAAAUGGAGUUCCUCUCUUGAGAUCAUAUUGAUGAUCCAAGUAGCUCCCAUCCUUUGGAAUAUGCAAGCAAAAUAAGUGUAAGCUCAUGCAAUAAAAUUAAUAAAGCAAGCUCUUAGAAGAUCCCCAAUGGCUCUUGUAUCUUUCACUUUGGAUGAACAUGGCAAUGGUUCUUCAAUUUGGCUCAAAUAGGAUUCCCUAGCACAAAAGCACACAACAUCAAAAAGUUUCAUGAAGCAAAUCAAGAAUGGACAAGAUUGAGUUUAGAGAUUUGGUCAUUCUAAUCCAUCUUCAACAUUAGGCAUUUUACUCCAAUUUUGCAUAGGGAAUGUCCUAGAAACUAAGUCCAUUUAUCCAUUUU
rnacentral:lncRNA from 1 species